AAUAAAAAAACGUAGUUAUAGUUAUUAAGUAUAUGUACAAUUUUAACACUUGAAUACAAUUAUUUAUUUUACUAACACACAAUUAUCCUUGAUGAUCUUAAAUACAGAAUAUAUAUAUAUUUUUUUUAUACUACUUCGGUGGCAAACAAGCAUACGGUCCGCCUGAUGGUAAGCAGUAUCCGUAGCCUAUGUUAUCCGUAGUUUUUUAUUUUAAUUUUAUUUAUUGCAUUUGUAUUAUUAUUAUAAUUUUGUAUUGUUCUAUUUAUACCCAUGUUAGUUUCAAUUUUAAUUUUUAUAUAUUGUAUUGUGAAUAAUGAUAAUUUUAAUUAAGAGCAAUUUUUAAAUGAUUAUGUUUAUAUAUUUUUGUACAAUAUUUUAUGAUAGACAUUUAUACGAUUUAGAAUUAAGACAUGUUAAAAUUGAUUAUGAGCCUUGUAGCUUGAAAUAAAUGAAUUUUAUUUUUAUUUAUUUUUUAUAUGUACGCCUGCAACUCCAGAGGAGUUACAUGCGCGUUGCCGACCCUAACCCCCUCCCACCCCUCGUUGAGCUCUGGCAACCUUACUCACCGGCAGGAACACUACACUAUGAGUAGUCUUAGCUUUGACAAUCUGCGCGUGGAUAUCGAGACACAUGAUCGUGGCGGCGGGCUCGGCGAUCUCCCACCUGAUUACCAUGGAGCCGUACCAGAUCUUCUGCACCACCAUGUGGAAGACUGCAUCCAAGUUAAGAUCUUUCCGACCAAACCGUGUCUCUCAUUACCAAUCCUGACACCAUUUCCACCUUCUCCAAAAACACCGACGGUACCCUCCAGUACGUGGUCAAAAGCAGCUCUGGCGCACUCAUACUUGAUCAGAAGAUCGUCCUGGCAGAACAUAGAGAUUUUACAAGCCCUGAUGGCAUGGACACUAAUGUGAAAUUUGUUUUAGACGGAGAUGUACUAAAAUCGCAUUUCCAUUUGCCUGAUGGUAGUGUUGUGUACAUGAACAGAUAUUUUGAGGCUAACGGCAUGAAAAUGGAAAUGUACAUUAAAGGUGCUGCCGAAAAAGCUACAGUUUAUUACGAGGUUGUUUAAUUAAUAAAUCUUUGUAUUUAUUUUAAUUUUAAUAAUGUUAAGUUUCGCAUAAAUCACCUAUAGAAUUUUCUUCGGAAUGAUUAUAUUCACAUUAUCAAAAAAAUGUUGUUUAAUACCAUAAUUUGUUUUGAAAGACCUAUCCAUCGACACCCCGCGCCAAAGGGUUAAAGUGAAAAAAAUGCCAUCCCUACUUAAGGGGUACCCUAAAAAAAUUACCUCUUUGUCGGCAUGAUUGAUUUAUGUAACAGUCAGGGAUUUUUAUUAUAUUAUUCUGUUACUUAUUGGGGGUUAAACCUUUAUUAGGGCACAGACGAGGGGAUCGAAAAGUAAUGUUAGUUAAAUAAAAGGUGGAUGAAAGCAGUAAAAAGAGGUAUGAUUUUUUUAAAGCGGUUCCUGCUUUUCUCAAACUUGCAAUGAAAUAAAAAUAAAAAUAGGAUGAUGAUGAUGAUGAUUGUUUCAUGUCCUAAUGUGAUAGGUUAUUCAGUGCGUGGGGUAUUAAAGGGAAACCAAAAUCUGAUUAUUUUGGCGCUACGACGCACGCCAUUACGUUUUUUUUCUUUGUUGUUUUUUUACUGUUACUUUAGGGUUAUUAAAAGAAAUUUUGAUUAUUUUUGCGCUACGACGCACGGUUUAGGAGAUACAGCCCGAUAAAGAUUUUUUUUUCAUUCAAGCAGAUAUUUUUAUAGGGCUGUAUCUCCUAAACCGUGCGUCGUAGCGCAAAAAUUAUCAAAUUUUCGUUCCCCUUUGGGAAACCCUGAAAUGAUACUAAGAAAACACAAAAAAGAAAAAAUAAUAGAAAAAAAGCAUAAUGGCAGAAUUUUGCUUAUAG